rnacentral:rRNA from 3 species
UACAGAGGUGGCAAGCGUUGUUCGGAAUUACUGGGCGUAAAGGGCGCGUAGGCGGCCUCUUUAGUCAGACGUGAAAUCCCCCGGCUUAACCUGGGAACUGCGUCUGAUACUGGGAGGCUUGAGUUCGGGAGAGGGAUGUAGAAUUCCAGGUGUAGCGGUGAAAUGCGUAGAUAUCUGGAGGAAUACCGGUGGCGAAGGCGGCAUCCUGGACCGAAACUGACGCUGAGGCGCGAAAGCUAGGGGAGCAAACGGG